AAAGGUUGAGUUUUUAUUUUUUUUCUGUUGAGUACAAGCAUUAACAGUCCGACAAGAGAAUGGGGAAGAAGAAGUUCAUCGACAAGAAAAAAUCUGCAACUUUUCAGCUACUUGCAAGGGACUCAUCCAAUCCCAGUAAUGACGAUGGUCCGUCCGGAGACCGAAUUUUCGUUAGGGUUGACGAUAGUCCAUACCCGGUUCAUGGAUUCUUUGACGAAGAUGUCCACAACGUUGAAGGCACUGCUCAUCCUGGUUAUUCCUUCGAAACUGAUGUCACAAAUGAUUCGAAUUCCAUUUUUACCAAUGCUUUUGGUGACCACGACGGUGAUGACAAAUAUGACAGAUUUGAGAUCCAUGGAAACCAAAAUCAAACUCUGUUGACUGGUGCAGUUCCACUACCAGAUCAUACAAGGAGAGAAAUUUUGGAGCUUGGACUUCCGGAUGAUGGUUAUAACUAUCUUAAUCAUCUUCGGGAGAUUAAGAACACCGGAGGUGGUUCCGCCUUUUACCAUAACAGUAAAGCGAAGCUUGAUCAGCUCCCACUUGAUGUAAAGGCUUAUGAUGCUUCGAAGGUACGCAUACCUAUUUCACUUGCCAAUGGUGAUGCAAAUGACAAUUCCCUGUACACUGUUGCAGCAAAAACUGUGGGUUUAAGGAUUCAAAAGGCAGUUGAUCCUGAAGUUGCUGCUUUGCUUGAUGAUGGUGAUAUGUCUCGGUUUGGCUCGGAUGUAGAGGACUUGGAAGAAGAUUUUGUUGUUCGUGCAAACCCUCCUGAAGAAAAGGAAGAUGUUCUGGAUAAGAGUAUGAAUUCAGUUGAUCGAUCCAGGGUAACUAGACAAGAAGUUAGAAAGCAUGCUAUUUGUUAUGCUGAAGAACAGGGAUCUCAGUUGCUUGGCUGUGAUGCAUCAAGAUGCCAUGAGGCAGAGCAGGGGACUGUUACUGAGCAGCCAAGAGUUCGUCGACUUUUGGAUGAGCAAUUUGAUAUGCUCACACUUCAGGAAUAUGAUACAGACAGUGAUUAUGAUAAUGAUGGUUCCAUAGCUGCAGAAGGUGAAUCCCUUGCAGACAAGCUUAGUCAUGUUCUUAAAGAUCAUGUCACAGAUGAGUUGGAUCUUGUUGACAAGUACAAAGUUCCCGCUGAUUUCUUGCACAAAAGUGGCGGAUCAAAUAGUAGAGAACUCGUAGACUCUGCUUCUGAUGUGAUCCGCCGGUGUGUAGAGUAUGCUGAGAUGUACAAUGAAAAUGAAGGUAAUGAAGAUGUGAUGGUUCUAGAAGAAAGUAGUGGUGAAUCUGAGGUGUGGGACUGUGAAACUAUUGUUUCUACAUAUUCGAAUCUUGAUAACCACCCUGGGACAAUCGAAGCUCCAGAAUAUGGUAGAAAGAAGAAACUGGCUGAAACUGUCUCUAAAGCUGCUGCCAGCGAUCGUGUUAUUUCUCUUCGUGGAAAGGAGAGGCUUCCAGUUGAAUUUUUACCUCACAGCAGAAAUGCUGUCGUGGAGAAGGUGAAGAAAGCACCAAGCACAAAACCUGAGCUGCCGAAGAGGAGACCUCACAGCCAGGAGUCAAAGGAAGAAAAGAAAGAAAGGAAGGCUGCAGUAAAAGAGGAGCGACGAGAGGCUCGGAAAGCAAAGAAAGAAUUGAAGGAGCUCUACCAGUGUGAAGCCCAGCGUGCGCAGCGGGUUGCUGCUGUUUCUGGGCCAUCUUCUGUCCAUGUUAUGUUUGCUGCUGGAACAGGGAAGGCAAAUGAUUUUUUAACUCAAAUAUAAUAGAGAUAUUUAAAUAGCAGGGGGAACAGUAGGAGAGAAUUUUAAAUUUAGCUCCCUCACCCACUAGCGAGGUAAUUCUUGCGCUGAUUGGCUGCUAAAGACCUGAAGCUACUCAGUCAAAGGCUCCAAAUCCAGUUUUGUGCAAAUAUGAUCACUAGGAUCUUUUCCUUCGUAUAAUUUUUGUAAUUGUUUAUCAUGAGGGUUUUUCCACAAUUGGACCUGAUAUGAUUAGGCACUUCAAUUUUGAGGAAGAAUUGACUAAAUCACUGAAUAUGAUGUGAUUACUUAUGUUACCAUUGGAUAUUAGGUCCAAUGGUGUUGGUGUUGUAAGGGCUAUUUUGGACUAUGUGUUGUCUGAAGUCAAGCACUACAAUGCAAGACUGUGAGCAGAAGCACACCUUAGCAACAAGUUUCAAUUCCUUGUUACCACAUGA